GUAUUUUCUUCCCUCCCUCUGCCCCCUCCUGGCCCCUCCCCUCCCCUCCCCCUUCCUCCGUGCCCCCGACGAUAUUCCUAUGAAUGGGAACUAAUAGAGAGCGUGGUCUCAGAUCUCACCGUCUAUUAACAAAAAUCGGCCCAGGAUACAGAGUUCAGUGCAGUAUGAAAUGCAGCUUUGAGAAGAGCUGUAAGGUUGCAGGAGACAGUAAGAAAAUACAGAGUAGCUGUUGCAGCAAAAGUCCCGGUGAAUACCUGGAUGACAACAGGCACUUUAGCCCGAUGAUGAGGGCAUCCUGUUUGGUUAAAAGGGGCAGUGACAAGGAAAUGCUUUUAUUGAAACAGAGAAACAUAAAAAACAUGCUUUCAAAACCUGUGGUUUAAAAAAGAAGAAUAGAUCUGUAGAAAGGUGGACUUAUAGUUGGGAUUUGGAACACACAUCAAGGAAAGGCCAUGUGAAGACACAGCAAGAAGGUGGUUGUCUGCAAGCCAGGAAAGGAGCUCUCACCAAAAACUCAAUCAGCCAGCACCUUGAUCUUGGACUUGCCAGCCUCCAGAACUAUGAGAAACAAAUAUCUGUUGUUUAAGCCACGAAACCUAUGAUUUUAUUACGGUAUCCUGAGCAGACUAAGACACCAAGGAUGUGAGAAUGAGUCAUACUGUGGUGGGUCUGCAGGCAUUCCCCCGCCCCCCUUCUUCAGUAGCCCAGGUACUUUGCGGAGUGCUGACUGCUCCCCAGCAACAAGUCCUCAGUCGCCUGAAGCCAGUGGCAGUGGGGGAAUGUGGUCCUGAUUGGUUCUGGCAGACACUCUGCAGUCCUGUUGAAGAGGAUCCUUGAGAUGAAGCAGAUAUCCCAGAAAGUGGAGCAGAAAGAAGGAAACAGUCCGCACUAAAUCUGGCAACCACGGAGCCUCCUCUAUCUCUGGACUUCCGAUGACUGGGGCUAAUAAACCUACUUUGUUGUUUGUGCUGUUCCACUUUGCUCUCUUGGCCCUCAUGACAUAAAAAGAGUCCUAACUCACUGCAACAUGAAAGAAGAAAGCAGAAUGGAGUGAAAUCAAACCAGCAAAGGGUGGAAAUCAUGAGAAAAAUCUAACCAUAAAUAAAAAUAAGAAUUAGAGCGAGAGUAUCCAUGCUUUGCAAAAGUUCGUCAAAUGAUAAGAAACCCUUUUGUAAAUAGGUUUUAUGAUUUUUUUUUUUUGGUCAAAAAUGGAUAAUGAUUAAAAAUAUCUUGUUAACUUUUCAAAAAUAUGCAUUAAAG
rnacentral:lncRNA from 1 species